AAGGAGAUUUUUCUGUGCUGACCUGAAAAUCUAGCUUACUCUAAAUGCUGAGUGGUUGUUAGCCUCUCAGGGGACAUGACUUGUGUGACUUUGCAACUUGGCUUAUUGUUUAAUUAUCAUCAUGUAAACAUUAUUAGAAUUGAUGAUCUAGGUUUUGUAAAGCUCACCUGAGCUUGGAGUUCUCAUGAGCUAAUGUGAUCACUAUAUGUCAAGGAUCGUCAACUUUUUGCUUAUAACCACUCCUGAGGCAACAUUUUUAUGCCCCCAGUAGGGUGGCAUAUAGCAGUUGAACUGUCAGUGCGUCCGUCCGAAAACUUUAACAUUGGCCAUAACUUUUUCAAUAUUGAAGAUAGCAACUUGAUAUUUGGCAUGCAUGUGCAUCUCAUGGUGUUGCACAUUUUGAAUGGUGAAAGGUCAAGGUCAUCCAUCAAGAUCAAAGGUCAAAAACAAAAUUCAAGGGAAGUAACAAGCUUUAAAGGGAGAUAAUUUCUAUUUUAUAUCAUUUGACAGGUACAGAUCAUUUUACCAAGUAAAGUAAUAUUUUUUAAAUGGAUAUAAUUUUUUUUAUUUUUUUUAUUCAAAGCGGCGCAUUAGGGGGCUUUGUGUUUCUGACAAACACAUUUCUUGUUUAUCCAAUCUUGAUGAAACUUGGUGAAAAUGUUUAUAUUUGCAAUACCUUGGCCAAACAGAAGCUGGGUCCUGUGGGUCAAAAAUCUUUGUCAUCAGAUGUUUGAAUCUGGGUGACAUGCAUUCAAAAACAAGGCCACUAUGUAAAAUAUGAAAACAAAAAUGUUACCACUCUAUAGGCAACAAAUAUGUCUCAAUCUGGAUGAAACUUGGUCUGAAUGUUUAUCUUUCCAAUAUAUAUGCCAAGUUUCUGGUUAAUAUGUAAAGAGAAAACCCAUUGUAACCACUCUAGCAACCACAUUAAUGACUCAAGCUUUAAGAAACUUGGUCAGAAUGUUUAUCUUGCCAAUAUAUUUGCCAAGGUUUUGGCUAUUGUGUUAAGAAAACCCCUUGUUACCCCUCUAGCAGCCACAUUAAUGACUCAAGCUUGAUGAUACCUGGUCAGAAUGUUUAUCUUGCCAAUAUAUUUGCCAAGGUUUUGGCUAUUGUGUUAAGAAAACCCCUUGUUACCCCUCUAGCAGCCACAUUAAUGACUCAAGCUUGAUGAACCUUGGUCAGAAUGUUUAUCUUGCCAAUAUAUUUGCCAAGGUUUUGGCUAUUGUGUUAAGAAAACCCCUUGUUACCACUCUAGCAGCCACAUUAAUGACUCAAGCUUGAUGAUACCUGGUCAGAAUGUUUAUCUUGCCAAUAUAUUUGCCAAGGUUUUGGUUAUUGUGUUAAGAAAACCCCUUGUUACCUCUCUAGCAGCCUUAUUAAUGACUCAAGCUUGAUGAUACCUGGUCAGAAUGUUUAUCUUGCCAAUAUAUUUGCCAAGGUUUGGGUUAUUGUGUUAAGAAAACCCCUUGUUACCUCUCUAGCAGCCACAUUAAUGACUCAAGCUUGAUGAUACUUGGUCAGAAUGUUUAUCUUGCCAAUAUAGUUGCCAAGGUUUUGGCUAUUGUGUUAAGAAAACCCCUUGUUACCCCUCUAGCAGCCACAUUAAUGACUCAAGCUUGAUGAUACCUGGUCAGAAUGUUUAUCUUGCCAAUAUAUUUGCCAAGGUUUUGGCUUUUGUGUUAAGAAAACCCCUUGUUACCUCUCUAGCAGCCACAUUAAUGACUCAAGCUUGAUGAUACCUGGUCAGAAUGUUUAUCUUGCCAAUAUAUUUGCCAAGGUUUUGGCUUUUGUGUUAAGAAAACCCCUUGUUACCCCUCUAGCAGCCACAUUAAUGACUCAAGCUUGAUGAUACCUGGUCAGAAUGUUUAUCUUGCCAAUAUAUUUGCCAAGGUUUUGGCUAUUGUGUUAAGAAAACCCCUUGUUACCCCUCAAGCAGCCACAUUAAUGACUCAAGCUUGAUGAUACCUGGUCAGACUGUUUAUCUUGCCAAUAUAUUUGCCAAGGUUUUGGCUAUUGUGUUAAGAAAACCCCUUGUUACCCCUCUAGCAGCCUUAUUAAUGACUCAAGCUUGAUGAUACCUGGUCAGACUGUUUAUCUUGCCAAUAUAAUUGCCAAGGUUUUGGCUAUUGUGUUAAGAAAACCCCUUGUUACCCCUCUAGCAGCCACAUUAAUGACUCAAGCUUGAUG